rnacentral:rRNA from 1 species
CGCGUAGGUGGCCAAUUAAGUCAAAUGUGAAAUCCCCGAGCUUAACUUGGGAAUUGCAUUCGAUACUGGUUGGCUAGAGUAUGGGAGAGGAUGGUAGAAUUCCAGGUGUAGCGGUGAAAUGCGUAGAGAUCUGGAGGAAUACCGAUGGCGAAGGCAGCCAUCUGGCCUAAUACUGACACUGGGGUGCGAAAGCAUGGGGAGCAAACA